AAAUUGAAGAGUUUGAUCAUGGCUCAGAUUGAACGCUGGCGGCAGGCCUAACACAUGCAAGUCGAACGGUAACAGGAAACAGCUUGCUGUUUCGCUGACGAGUGGCGGACGGGUGAGUAAUGUCUGGGAAACUGCCUGAUGGAGGGGGAUAACUACUGGAAACGGUAGCUAAUACCGCAUAACGUCGCAAGACCAAAGAGGGGGACCUUAGGGCCUCUUGCCAUCGGAUGUGCCCAGAUGGGAUUAGCUAGUAGGUGGGGUAAC
rnacentral:rRNA from 1 species